rnacentral:rRNA from 1 species
UACGAAGGGGGCUAGCGUUGCUCGGAAUCACUGGGCGUAAAGGGUGCGUAGGCGGGUCUUUAAGUCGGGGGUGAAAUCCUGGAGCUCAACUCCAGAACUGCCUUUGGUACUGAAGAUCUUGAGUUCGGGAGAGGUGAGUGGAACUGCGAGUGUAGAGGUGAAAUUCGUAGAUAUUCGCAAGAACACCAGUGGCGAAGGCGGCUCACUGGCCCGAUACUGACGCUGAGGCACGAAAGCGUGGGGAGCAAACAGG